rnacentral:rRNA from 1 species
UUAAGCGACUAAGCGUACACGGUGGAUGCCCUGGCAGUCAGAGGCGAUGAAGGACGUGCUAAUCUGCGAUAAGCGUCGGUGAGGUGAUAUGAACCGUUAUAACCGGCGAUUUCCGAAUGGGGAAACCCAGUGUGUUUCGACACACUAUCAUUAACUGAAUCCAUAGGUUAAUGAGGCGAACCGGGGGAACUGAAACAUCUAAGUACCCCGAGGAAAAGAAAUCAACCGAGAUUCCCCCAGUAGCGGCGAGCGAACGGGGAGGAGCCCAGAGCCUGAAUCAGUGUGUGUGUUAGUGGAAGCGUCUGGAAAGGCGCGCGAUACAGGGUGACAGCCCCGUACACAAAAAUGCACAUACUGUGAGCUCGAUGAGUAGGGCGGGACACGUGGUAUCCUGUCUGAAUAUGGGGGGACCAUCCUCCAAGGCUAAAUACUCCUGACUGACCGAUAGUGAACCAGUACCGUGAGGGAAAGGCGAAAAGAACCCCGGCGAGGGGAGUGAAAAAGAACCUGAAACCGUGUACGUACAAGCAGUGGGAGCCUCUUAAUGGGGUGACUGCGUACCUUUUGUAUAAUGGGUCAGCGACUUAUAUUCUGUAGCAAGGUUAACCGAAUAGGGGAGCCGAAGGGAAACCGAGUCUUAACUGGGCGUUAAGUUGCAGGGUAUAGACCCGAAACCCGGUGAUCUAGCCAUGGGCAGGUUGAAGGUUGGGUAACACUAACUGGAGGACCGAACCGACUAAUGUUGAAAAAUUAGCGGAUGACUUGUGGCUGGGGGUGAAAGGCCAAUCAAACCGGGAGAUAGCUGGUUCUUCCCGAAAGCUAUUUAGGUAGCGCCUCGUGAAUUCAUCUCCGGGGGUAGAGCACUGUUUCGGCAAGGGGGUCAUCCCGACUUACCAACCCGAUGCAAACUGCGAAUACCGGAGAAUGUUAUCACGGGAGACACACGGCGGGUGCUAACGUCCGUCGUGAAGAGGGAAACAACCCAGACCGCCAGCUAAGGUCCCAAAGUCAUGGUUAAGUGGGAAACGAUGUGGGAAGGCCCAGACAGCCAGGAUGUUGGCUUAGAAGCAGCCAUCAUUUAAAGAAAGCGUAAUAGCUCACUGGUCGAGUCGGCCUGCGCGGAAGAUGUAACGGGGCUAAACCAUGCACCGAAGCUGCGGCAGCGACACUAUGUGUUGUUGGGUAGGGGAGCGUUCUGUAAGCCUGUGAAGGUGGCCUGUGAGGGUUGCUGGAGGUAUCAGAAGUGCGAAUGCUGACAUAAGUAACGAUAAAGCGGGUGAAAAGCCCGCUCGCCGGAAGACCAAGGGUUCCUGUCCAACGUUAAUCGGGGCAGGGUGAGUCGACCCCUAAGGCGAGGCCGAAAGGCGUAGUCGAUGGGAAACAGGUUAAUAUUCCUGUACUUGGUGUUACUGCGAAGGGGGGACGGAGAAGGCUAUGUUGGCCGGGCGACGGUUGUCCCGGUUUAAGCGUGUAGGCUGGUUUUCCAGGCAAAUCCGGAAAAUCAAGGCUGAGGCGUGAUGACGAGGCACUACGGUGCUGAAGCGACAAAUGCCCUGCUUCCAGGAAAAGCCUCUAAGCAUCAGGUAACAUCAAAUCGUACCCCAAACCGACACAGGUGGUCAGGUAGAGAAUACCAAGGCGCUUGAGAGAACUCGGGUGAAGGAACUAGGCAAAAUGGUGCCGUAACUUCGGGAGAAGGCACGCUGAUAUGUAGGUGAAGCGACUUGCUCGUGGAGCUGAAAUCAGUCGAAGAUACCAGCUGGCUGCAACUGUUUAUUAAAAACACAGCACUGUGCAAACACGAAAGUGGACGUAUACGGUGUGACGCCUGCCCGGUGCCGGAAGGUUAAUUGAUGGGGUUAGCGGUAACGCGAAGCUCUUGAUCGAAGCCCCGGUAAACGGCGGCCGUAACUAUAACGGUCCUAAGGUAGCGAAAUUCCUUGUCGGGUAAGUUCCGACCUGCACGAAUGGCGUAAUGAUGGCCAGGCUGUCUCCACCCGAGACUCAGUGAAAUUGAACUCGCUGUGAAGAUGCAGUGUACCCGCGGCAAGACGGAAAGACCCCGUGAACCUUUACUAUAGCUUGACACUGAACAUUGAGCCUUGAUGUGUAGGAUAGGUGGGAGGCUUUGAAGUGUGGACGCCAGUCUGCAUGGAGCCGGCCUUGAAAUACCACCCUUUAAUGUUUGAUGUUCUAACGUGGGCCCCUUACCGGGGUUGCGGACAGUGUCUGGUGGGUAGUUUGACUGGGGCGGUCUCCUCCUAAAGAGUAACGGAGGAGCACGAAGGUUGGCUAAUCCUGGUCGGACAUCAGGAGGUUAGUGCAAUGGCAUAAGCCAGCUUGACUGCGAGCGUGACGGCGCGAGCAGGUGCGAAAGCAGGUCAUAGUGAUCCGGUGGUUCUGAAUGGAAGGGCCAUCGCUCAACGGAUAAAAGGUACUCCGGGGAUAACAGGCUGAUACCGCCCAAGAGUUCAUAUCGACGGCGGUGUUUGGCACCUCGAUGUCGGCUCAUCACAUCCUGGGGCUGAAGUAGGUCCCAAGGGUAUGGCUGUUCGCCAUUUAAAGUGGUACGCGAGCUGGGUUUAGAACGUCGUGAGACAGUUCGGUCCCUAUCUGCCGUGGGCGCUGGAGAACUGAGGGGGGCUGCUCCUAGUACGAGAGGACCGGAGUGGACGCAUCACUGGUGUUCGGGUUGUCAUGCCAAUGGCACUGCCCGGUAGCUAAAUGCGGAAGAGAUAAGUGCUGAAAGCAUCUAAGCACGAAACUUGCCCCGAGAUGAGUUCUCCCUGACCCUUUAAGGGUCCUGAAGGAACGUUGAAGACGACGACGUUGAUAGGCCGGGUGUGUAAGCGCAGCGAUGCGUUGAGCUAACCGGUACUAAUGAACCGUGAGGCUUAACCUU